CCUGUCGACUUAGGUCAUGGAUCAACUUAUCCGUGUGUGUGUCAGACGGCGGCGGCUGCGGUUUGGGUCGCAGCUGAUUGGACGGUGACGAAGUGGAUGAGGCUGGCGCAGAGGUUGUGGAGGCUUCGGUCAGAGAUGAGGAGGAUAAUGGAGGGGGAGACGCCGUCAUGGACCACGUCAGCGUGGGCGUGGACGUACGGGAGGCCCUAUGCAACGUCAGCGGCGCCGCAGAGCCAGUACCGGGGAGGUUGUUCUCGCUGCUACUACUGGUGUUUCCGGUGCUGGAAAUACACAUGGGGUUAGGCGAGGUAGGCAGCAAGCAGAGCGUGAGGCUCGCAUGGUGGUUCCUAUCGGCGCAGGUGAGCGCGGUGGAGGUGUCCUUGGCGGCGAGGCCGAGGCGAGCAUGGAGCUAGAAGAGGGUGGCACCGUGGAAUUGGAGGGAGCAACACCUUGGUGGAGGAACCGAAUUGACGAGUCUGAGCACACCUUCUUGAACCAAUAUAUUUUGUUUUGGUCAAUGGUUAUUGACAUGCAGUGCUCCUACAUCUUCUUGAAAAAAAUAUUUGUCAAUGACAAGGGAAACCAAAAUAGUGCUUGUGAUCCUCUUUCUUGGUAACAACUGAGAAUUAUCCUAAAUGUGCUUCUUUUGGGCAUUAGCAUGAUCUGAAAUAAGCAACCACUUGUGUGAUUACAUUUUCAUUGCAUUGUUUUGCAUUGCAUUUAGUGUUCUUAGACCAAUGCUGCAAUAGGUUUAAUGUGUAUUGUUUCAGAAAGAAGUUACAAGGAGAAAAUAUGGGAUCUGAAGUAGCUUAUUGACUCCGACGGCAUGAAAUUGUCACGUUCUGUGAUAGUUACAAUGUUAUCAAUGGUGAUUGGCUUCCAAGAUGACUUCGGCAGUGUUGUCUUGGCAACAAGAACCAUACUUGCAAGUGUGGUGAUGUACGAUGAUUCUGGUAUCAGAUUACAUGCUGGAAAGUGAGCAGCGGUGCUCAAUCAAAUAUUUUGCGAACUUCCUUCUGAACAUCCCUUGGCUGAAACAAAACCAUUGCGUCAACUUUUAGGCCAUACUCCGACCCAGGUCAGAGAAUCAUAUGGAAGAUCCAUGGGUCUAAUGUGCCAUCUUCAUUGAAAAUUACUGGUAUGGAUGGUAGUUUGGCUAGCAUCCAGUUCUUUCAUAGUCCUGACAUCCUCUCUCAUUCAAAUGUUGGACUAAUUAAGUAAUUAUAGGGUGUAAGUUUACACAAAAAAGCUGUAUGUUAGAUAAUUGUGCUUUGAAAACUUCAGUUCCUCUUCCAGUUUUGAAGGGCCACGUCUCUCAUUUACCUUUUUUAUUUUCCUGCAAAGGCUCUAUAUUUGCUGCAGGUUAACAUAUUCGUUAACAUUCAUUGUUGUGAGUUCAGGCAAUAAAAAAAUUGUGGCUGGCCGGCUUCUACUAGGUGUCAUGUACUUUAAUGAUAAUUGCUGGUUUAAUGUAUUAUUUC